CCUACGGGUGGCAGCAGUGGGGAAUAUUGCACAAUGGGGGAAACCCUGAUGCAGCGACGCCGCGUGAGUGAAGAAGUAUUUCGGUAUGUAAAGCUCUGUCAGUCGGGAAGAAAAUGACGGUACCUGUCCAAGAAGUCCCGGCUAACUACGGGCAAGCAGCCGCGGUAAUACGUAGGGGUCAAGCGUUAUUCGGAUUUACUGGGGGUAAAGGGAGCGUAGACGGCAGGGCAAGUCUGGAGUGAAAGGCGGGGGCUCAACCCCCGGACUGCUCUUGAAACUGUCAGGCUUGAGUGCAGGAGAGGUAAGUGGAAUUCGUAGUGUAGCGGUGAAAUGCAUAGAUAUUAGGAGGAACACCAGUGGCGAAGGCAGCUUACUGGACUGUAACUGACGUUGAGGCACGAAAGCGUGGGUAGCAAACAGGAUUAGAUACCCUUGUAGUC
rnacentral:rRNA from 1 species